AUUGCAUACGUUUGUAAGUCGCUCUGGAUAAGAGCGUCUGCUAAAUGACUUAAA
rfam:Salmo salar isolate Sally breed double haploid chromosome ssa24, whole genome shotgun sequence.